rnacentral:lncRNA from 1 species
GUGACUAUGCCUUUUAAAAAUGUUGUGUUUAAAUGUACCAUUUCUCCUGGUUCUUUUUUAGCAUAUUUGUAUUUGCAAUCACACUGAGCUAAAAUAAUACAAAGCUGCUGCAACUACCAUACUGAAAUGACAUUUUGUGCUUUAGAUUUAUCCCUAUUGCACUGAAGAAUACUCCUUAUGAAACUAUGUCUGCCUGCUCAGUGAGCUGUAGAUAACCCACUGGAAACACUGAACAUUAAUAAUAAGAUGAAUCAGGCAAACCAGACUAUUUUUGCAUUUUCAAUAGAACUUUUUUAAGGUGACAAGUGCAAGUGAUGCAUUCCACUCCUUCAAAUAGUGUAAAUAAACAACAAAAAUUAUGAACUUGCAGAAAUAAUGGUUCUUUCACUGAAAUAUUCAAGAUAAACUCUUUGAUUUUGCAGUUCUGAUGAAGGUUUUAUAUUUUACCUUGGUGGAAGCCACAGCUGAAGCACACAGGAACUUUCAUCCAGUGUUCAUCAGUCUCAGGUGUUAAUCCUUUCUCUGCCAGUGUUACCAAGUCAACACCCAGCUCCUCACUGCAGAAAUUGUGUCUUCAUUGCUGGCUUUGAACCUAAAUAAGACAAUUCCAUUUUAGCUUCUGCUGUAAAUAUUUGGAUCAUUUCCCUUUUGAAAAAAAGGGGGUAAACUGCAGCGUGUUCAAGAGCAUCUUCACAAGGCAAGAAUGGCAAAGUGCCUCUUACAAUUCCAACUUGUACAGAUGGCUACAGAAAGAAUUCACCUCCUGUACUGAAGCUAGCAGCUAAAACAGUGGCAACCCUGGAAGUCAGGACCCUCUUUUGGGUAAUCAGC